AAUUCUUGAGAUAAAGGCUUAGUUAGAGAUGAGUUGAGUAAUACUCCAGUAAGGUAAACUAUCAGGGAUGUGAAUCAGAAAAUAUUACAUUUCUGAAUUGAAGCCUAUAUGUUUAAGAAACAAAAAGGCUACAAAAAAUUAAUUAGAAAAGCAUUAUCAAUUUUCACCAAAAUUUGUAUCCCAAAAAAAGAAAAAAAAAACUGUUUAACACUAUAUACACAAUAUACACAAGCUUGCAUGAAACAUCCCUUAUUUCCCAGUUCACAAAUUCCAUUGCAGCCUAUAUUUAUAAUGAAUAAAUUUUAUAUAAAGUUAAAGUACUACAUGGUAAAGAAACGCCACUAAUCUUAUUCUACAUUUUUUUUUUUUAACUACAAAAAGAGAAAAGUAGAAAAUGUU
rnacentral:misc_RNA from 1 species